rnacentral:rRNA from 1 species
UACGGAGGGGGCUAGCGUUGUUCGGAAUUACUGGGCGUAAAGGGCGCGUAGGCGGAUGGCACAGUCAGAUGUGAAAUUCCCGGGCUUAACCUGGGGGCUGCAUUUGAUACGUGUGAUCUAGAGUGAGGAAGAGGGUCGUGGAAUUCCCAGUGUAGAGGUGAAAUUCGUAGAUAUUGGGAAGAACACCGGUGGCGAAGGCGGCGACCUGGGUCCUUUUACUGACGCUGAGGCGCGAAAGCGUGGGGAGCAAACAGG